CCGUUCUCACAGCUCUUCACCACUUCCGGUCCCAGCCCCGCCUCCUCAAGGCCUCUCCGUGCGUUUUGCGUUCAAGAAUUUUGUCCCCAGCGCCGAGCCGUCUCUCCGCCCCCGCCGCUGCCAUGGCGGCAGCUCCGCCGGUCUCCAAGGCCGAGUACCUGAAGCGUUAUUUGUCUGGGGCAGGUGCCGGCGUCGAUGGGGCCCCUGAGUCGGGUCGCAGGCGUCGCAGAAAGCGGCCGAAGCCUGGCGGGGCCGGCGGCAAGGGAAUGCGGAUCGUGGAUGAUGAUGUGAGCUGGACAUCUAUUUCCACCACUAAACCGGAAAAGGAGGAAGAGGAAGAUGAUGGAGAUUUGCCUGUGGUGGCUGAGUUUGUGGAUGAGCGGCCAGAAGAGGUAAAGCAGAUGGAAGCCUUUCGUUCCAGUGCCAAAUGGAAGCUUCUAGGAGGUCACAGUGAAGAUCUGCCCUCACACAGACACUUCCGUCGUGACUCCCUGGAUUCAUCUCCCCCAAGGAGGGUCCGUCAUGACACCCCGGACCCAUCUCCCCUGAGGAGGGUCCGUCACGACACCCCGGACCCAUCUCCCCCGAGGAGGGUCCGUCACGACACCCCGGACCCAUCUGCCCCGAGGAGGGUCCGUCACGACACCCCGGACCCAUCUCCCCCCAGGAGGGUCCGUCACGACACCCCGGACCCAUCUCCCCCAAGGAGGGUCCGUCACGACACCCCGGACCCAUCUCCCCCAAGGAGGGUCCGUCACGACACCCCGGACCCAUCUCCCCCCAGGAGGGUCCGUCAUGACACCCCGGACCCAUCUCCCCCCAGGAGGGUCCGUCGUACUUCUCUGGAUCCUUCUCCCCUCAGGAAGCCUCAUCGUCAUUCUUCAGGCAUGUCUCCUAGGAGAACCCAUCAUGACACACCACAUUCGUCUCUUCCUAGGAGGGCCUGUCACAAUUCCUCAGAUAGCUCUGUUCCCAGAAGGGCUCAAAAUAGCUCACCUGACACAUCUCAACCUAGAAGGACUCAUGACUCCUUGGACACAUCGCAGCUCAGGAGGGCCCAUCAUAACUCCCCUGAUUUGGCUGCUAGUGUCCCUCAUUCACUGCCCAGACCCAAAAGCAGUAAAGGCCCAGAGAGAGCUUCUAGGAAAACUUCUCCACAUUCGAAGGGGCCGGGACCAUCUCACACAUCAAUCCCAAAGAACAGCAAAUAUGAGUAUGACUCGGACCGCUCUCCUCCACGAAAAAAGCGAGCAAAAUCCCAUAAGCAUGAUUCUAAAGACUCUUCCCCCAGCCAUAGGAAAUUUCAUACAAACUCUUCGCCUAGGAGAUAUCAGAGUCACAUGUUGGACUCUUCCUCCUACCCAGAUGAUAGUCGGAAAGCCUCUGAUUCAGAUCUUUCUCCUCCACGGCAAAAGCAGAGUUCAGGGCACAAAGAUUCUGAUUCAGAUCUGUCACCUCCACGGAAUAGACCUACAUACCGGAGCUCUGAUUCUGACCUGUCUCCACCAAGGAGGAAACAGAGGGCCAAAUCUUCUGAUUCCGAUCUGUCUCCACCUCGAAGGAGUCAGCCUCUAGGAAAGAAGGCUACACACAUGUAUUCUGGGGCAAGAACUGGGUUGGUGUUAACUGACAUACAGCGAGAGCAGCAAGAGCUCAAGAAACGGGACCAAGAAACUACGGCGUUUGAAGCUGAAUUCCAGUAUGCUGAAACUGUAUUUCGAGAUAAGUAUGGUCGUAAGAGGAAUUUGAAACUGGAACGUUUAGAGCAAAGGAGAAAAGCAGAGAAGGACUCGGAGAGAGAGGAGCUGUACGCUCAGUGGGGAAAAGGGCUUGCCCAGAGCCGGCAGCAGCAACAAAAUGUGGAGGAUGCAGUGAAGGAAAUGCAAAAGCCUCUGGCGCGCUACAUUGAUGAUGAAGAUCUGGAUCGGAUGCUGCGAGAACAGGAAAGAGAGGGGGACCCCAUGGCCAACUUUAUCAAGAAGAAUAAGGCUAAGGAGAACAAGAAUAAGAAAGUGAGACCUCGCUACAGUGGUCCUGCCCCUCCUCCCAACAGAUUCAAUAUUUGGCCUGGAUAUCGCUGGGAUGGAGUUGACAGCCUCUCCGGAGCCUUCUUGGAUGUCUGAUUGGCACUUGGUGACAGCCCAUGCAGUCCCAUCACACUGCCAGUGGAGUUUCCAUUGCGCUAAUCCAUCACUGUGGAGCAGGCAAGAUUAUGCUUCCCCAAAAAAACUCUGGGAGAUAAAUAUGAGAGGAUCAGUACUGCUGUGGGCUCUGUGAGUGUGGAUUUGGAGAGGGACCCAAGAUGCCUGGGGAGAGGCAACGAUGGCAGAGCUGAUGAAGCUCCUGCAGUCAGGAGAGAGACACACGACAUACCUCGGGCACUUAGUGUGGCUCACCCUCCAGAGCACUCAACUGAUGUCCCACCUGUUCUGGGAAGACCCUACUCGGGCCCAGCCUCUAGCAGGUCCUGCCCACAGCUGGUCUGCUGGUCCUUCAUAUAAAGGGAGCCAUGUUCUGCACCUGGAGCCAGAGUGAAUCAGUGAGCGAGGAGGAUUGUUCCAGAAGGAUCCGGAUGAGGACCCCUGCCUCCUCUUUGUUGUCCCCACCUCGAUGCCAUGUGCUGGUUCUGAUGACUUUGGCUGUGCACCUGAAUUCUUGUUCUGGCACGGGCUCACAGCCCUGUCCUGUGUGCCCACCAAUCUCCAUUCUGGGAUUCAGUCAAAUUCCAGUCCUUAAACAUGAGCCUUCCAAGGAUUACUCUAAGUCUUCUUGGAACUCACCCCAGACUGAGACUGGAGAGAGUGGUGUCCUCUGGUACCUGCUUGUUCAUCAGACUGAGCCUCAAGUCAUUGCCCUCAGCCGGGUCAGUUUCUGCAGCACCUAGGCCACCCCAGAGGCAG